rnacentral:rRNA from 1 species
UACGGAGGGUGCAAACGUUAUCCGGAUUCACUGGGCGUAAAGGGUGCGUAGGCGGGUUUUUAAGUCAGAGGUGAAAUCCUGGAGCUCAACUCCAGAACUGCCUUUGAUACUGAGAAUCUUGAGUAUGGGAGAGGUGAGUGGAACUGCGAGUGUAGAGGUGAAAUUCGUAGAUAUUCGCAAGAACACCGGUGGCGAAGGCGGCAUCCUGGACCGGUAUUGACGCUGAUGCGCGAAAGCCAGGGGAGCAAACGGG